AACGAACGCUGGCGGCGUGCCUAACACAUGCAAGUCGAACGAGAAAGGGGCUUCGGCUCCGAGUAAAGUGGCGCACGGGUGAGUAACACGUGGGUAACCUGCCUCUAAGAUUGGGAUAACUCGUCGAAAGAUGAGCUAAUACCGAAUAAGACCACAGUUCCCGCGGGAACAGGGGUCAAAGGUAGCCUCUGCUUGCAAGCUAUCACUUAGAGAUGGGCCUGCGCACCAUUAGCUAGUUGGUAGGGUAACGGCCUACCAAGGCAAAGAUGGUUAGCUGGUCUGAGAGGAUGAUCAGCCACACUGGAACGGAGACACGGUCCAGACUCCUACGGGAGGCAGCAGUGGGGAAUAUUGCGCAAGGGGCGAAAGCUUGACGCAGCAACGCCGCGUGAGUGAGGAAGGCCUUCGGGUCGUAAAGCUCUGUCGGGAGGAACGAAUGCUCCUGAGGUUAACAGCCUCGGGAGGUGACGGUACCUUCAAAGGAAGCACCGGCUAACUCUGUG
rnacentral:rRNA from 1 species